rnacentral:misc_RNA from 1 species
AACGCACAUUGCGCCCCUCGGUAUUCCGGGGGGCACGCCUGUCCGAGCGCCAUUACACCCCCCAAGCUAGGCUUGAUGUUGGGCUACGUCCUCGCUCGCGGGGACCGGCCUUGAAUGCAUGGGCGCCGCCGGCGGGACCACGAGCGUAGCAAGACCUUCACACGUCGUUCGCUCUGUGGGCUCCAGCCGCGUGGUCUGCCGAACCACGAUCUUCGGAUCGACCAACCAAAGUUUGGCCUCGGAUCAGGCGGGGUUACCCGCUGAACUUAA